UACGGGGGGGGCAAGCGUUGUUCGGAAUUACUGGGCGUAAAGCGUGCGUAGACGGUUAUUUAAGUCGGGUGUGAAAGCCCCGGGCUCAACCUGGGAAUUGCAUUCGAGACUGAAUAGCUAGGGUACGGUAGAGGGAAGCGGAAUUUCCGGUGUAGCGGUGAAAUGCGUAGAUAUCGGAAGGAACAUCAGUGGCGAAAGCGGCUUCCUGGACCAGUACCGACGUUCAGGCACGAAAGCGUGGGGAGCAAACAGG
rnacentral:rRNA from 1 species